CCCUUAGAUGUUCUGGGCCGCACGCGCGCUACACUGACGAAUGCAACGAGCUUAUAACCUUGGCCGAAAGGUCUGGGUAAUCUCCAAAUUUCGUCGUGAUGGGGAUAGAUUAUUGCAAUUAUUAAUCUUCAACGAGGAAUGCCUAGUAAGCGCAAGUCAUCAGCUUGCGUUGAUUACGUCCCUGCCCUUUGUACACACCGCCCGUCGCUCCUACCGAUUGAAUGGUCCGGUGAAAUCUCGGGACGGCGGCUUGGUCGCUUGCGUCCGACUGCUGAAACUUGAUUAAACCAUNUNAUUUAGNGGAAGGUGAANUCGUANCA
rnacentral:rRNA from 1 species